GUGCACCUGUCAUAGGCCCAGGCUGGGAACAUUGCCCCCUUGUAGUGCCUGAACCUCAGCUGAGUCGGGUGGCAGCCUCCCAUUUGUUAAAUGCUACACGAGGUGACUGGAGCUCCUCUGCCCGUCGCUGAGAGGACAGAUGGAGAGGCCACGGAGUGUUCUGGAGAGCCGAUGGUAAUUACGAGCCAGUAGCAGAGCCGGUGGCUUCCGCGGGGAACAGGCCUGAGCGGAAGCGCUCGAGUGGCAUGGGGGGUUGUUUGCCCUUUGGCUGCUCAGCAUGCUGUUGCUCUGCGCACUGAGCUCAUGUUGGGACUGCCGUCGCAGCGCAUUUCUCCGCUCUUCACGUCAGUGAGAUCUGAUCAGUCAUCUUCUCAAGAGCUUCCUGUCUGCAGGUGAUUAAUUACUUUGUCACCCGUCGGUCUCAGAAAAUGAGAGGUGAGGAGAAAAAAAGGAGGAAAAGGGAGGAGUAUGAGGGAAAGUGAGCAGGCACAGCUUUGCAGGAUGCUGAAAUGUAGCUCUGCAAUCCCCAUAGGGCUCCCAUUAAUGAGGGUGCAGAGAAAGUUAACAACUUGCAUUAAGCACUAAUGCAUACUUUAAUUAAUUAAGUGCUCGUUUAGAAAUAUCCAACACAUCCUGUACACGUUCAAUCUGACUUAACAAUAACAUAUUAGCGAUUCCUGUUCCAGGCAUAACAUAUUUAAAUGUCACUGAUACUCCAACGGCUAGAUAAACAUACUCUGAAACUCUAUUAGCUGCAUUAGGCGAUGUCUGGAGCAGCGCAAAUUCCCCUGCAAUUCUCUCAUAAUUGCAAAUUAAUUUCACAUUUAAUGUAUGAACACAGCCAUGGUGAAAUGUAGUUAAUUAGUUGAUUAAAAUGCAUAGUUCAAAGUAAAAACUGAGCAAUUUUGGGUCAUUUAGUGAAUCAUUUUAUAGUUAUUGGACAGCUUUAACACUCUUCCUUUUCAUUAUUUUUAAAGCAGGUUCUUAGACCUGGAUGAUGCAGUUAAGACAUUUUAAAGAAAAGUUUUCAAUACCAUAGAAAAUGCCUUUAUUCUCAUUACUGAUUGAUAAAGCGGCAACUUAAAUAUAGAUGCCACAUCCAGUUUUGGCAUCAUGUGACACGUGCAUCUCAAACAGAACUGCCAGCAUAAAUAUAAGUAGCCUAUCACACACACACACACACACACACACACACACUGAGCUUUGAGGUGAGUGUGUUAAUCUCUGAGGUGUGUUAGGAAAGCACAGAAGGAAGGAGAUAUCAAAUAAAGCUCAUGUAAAAAUAUUCUAGAGAAAUUAUUUACUAAAAAGCAUCCUAGUAAAAUUUAGAUAAGCAAAAACUCCAUGCCAUUCCAGUUUUAGCCCAAUGCGACGGGAUUCAUGAGAAGGAUAACAUGAUAAAGACGUGUUUGAACAUAUAAUCUCUGAGGAAAGAUUCCUCUGGGUUAAAUUCAAAAGAAUCACUUUAUGCACAUCCGACCGUGCUGUUUUUUUUGUGUUUUUUUUUUCAGCGAAAGCAGGAAUACAUCUCUCACACAGCUCUCUCAAACCUUAAAACGGAGACAAAGAAACACUAACAAGCCACUAAAAAUAAAUUGGCAUGCAUAGUCAGAAUGUUGACAAUAAAACCAAAAAACAACCCUCGGGAUGUCGACAAUCCCGUCACUCGAAAAUAAAAGCAGCCCUGUUAAUAAAACGCUUCGUUUCCAGACAAAAUGCUUAACAAGCGUCUCUCGGAGUCGGUUUCAACAUGUUUGAAAUCAAUCUGAAUAUUUACGCCCGUGGAAACAGGCAAUCUGUGUAGAGCUGCGCACCUCCUCAGUGGAGAGGAACUUCACUUUUGGCACGGUGUGUUUCAGUAUUUCAUGGAGCUGCACCUCCUUUUUCCCUGCAGACGUCUCCUGCUGAAUGUGUGUGUGCUGAACAAAAGCCUAGGUUGAUUACAACAGGGAAAUUGGUCAUGAACGGGUCAUUACCUGCGUCAAGAAAAAAGAGGAAAAGAAAAGUGUACAACAAGAAUCCGCAAGAAUCUUAUCUGGUAUUUCCAUGCGGUUGGGUGAUGAAGAGCAGGUGGCCUCAUUUGCAGAGAGCACUUCCUCAGAAGCAGCACCUUCGCUGCCUCCUCUUCCUCCACGUGGCUGUCGGGCAGGCGAGGGCGAUUGCGUUCCCCUCCCACUCCGUGCCGCCUGUCCGCCUGUGGGACCUGCUCCGUGGGCUUUUCAUCAGCUGCCAUUUUCACCAGCAUGCAGGAACUCCAGGACAAGGAUAAUAACCAUUCCUGUUAAUUGUGGUUUGGUGAAGAAACAAGGCCUGUCGCUCGCCGGUCUAAUCUGCCCGGCUGUCCCAAUCCAGUCCAAGCAGGAAGAAUGAACAGAGAAAACUGUGUACAACACAUUCUGAAGUUCUGGAUGGCAUGAAGGUUAACGUGGCUGGCUUCCAAAAUCAUCGUGCCUGAGACCACACAGAUGGGGAUGAGAUAAAACUUCUAAACCUAACAGCAUGGGUGGAUGAGGUGUUGUGCAGAGAAGAAAGACAUGGAGAAGAAACCACAACCAAACUUCAUCAGUUCUUGCAUGCCAGCUCCUAGACAGCAAAACACAAACCGAAGACGAGCUUCAAAAUGGAGGGAUCGAAAAGAGGAGAGGACGAGUGCAGAGAAAACAAAGAAACAGAGGAAGAAGGGAAGAAAAUAAGCAGAGAGAAGAAGGUGUGGAGCAGAAGUGUGGAAGUGUGUUGCUGGGCAGAGGGUUGGCAAGCGGGGUGGAGAAGCGGGCACGCUCACAGACAUCUGUUGGCACGCUGCGGAUGCUGGAGGGGGCACACUGCCAUGACCAGCGGGAACAUGGCACACUGAUAAUGCUGGAGCUAUACUCAGAUUCACACUGCGUCUCUAUAGAACGCCACACACACCAGCACUAAUGAUAAAAUAAUCUCACACUAUCGACAUGAGCGACACAGGACACACAUGUUGCGGAUCAAAAUAUCAUAAUUGGCAGCUUGCAGUUUUUAGUCUGGGCAAAAUGCUUUUUUAUGAGAAUCUAAGAGAAAUUAUCCUGCAGAAUAAAAAGUGAAUUAACACUCCUAAAAAUAAAAGUUCUUCAGUGGCAUUGAUUGUUCCAUGAAGAACCUUUAACAUACUUUCCACUGAAUAAAAGGUUCUUUAUAGAGGAAAAAGGUUCUUUAGAUUUUUUAAAUAAUAAAAAAAGAAAAACUGCUCACCGAAAGGUUCUUUGGGAAUUCUUUUUUUUUUUUUCGUGGAAUUCACAUUCUUAAAAAAACAAUUUUUUUUUUUUUUUUAAAUAACAUUUCAGUGAUGGAAAAGAUCUUUUAAAAAAAAUACAGAAAAAUCUAUUAUGAUUAAUUCAAACAAUAUUCUCAAGGAAAUGUUUUGCUUAAGACAUUCUGAGUAGAAAGAGCAGGUAAAAUGUAAACAUUAAAAUAUUAUAUAUAAUAUUUUACCAGACAUGAUGGAAACAUGAAAAUGUUAUUGCAAAGUAGGAAUUUAAAUAAAAUUAUUUUUCUCAAACCUUUUUUCUCAAAUCUAUGGAAGCUUUCUAUUUUACAAAAUGGUUCUUAACAAUAAAAAAUAUUCUUUAUAUUAUUAAAAUGUUCUUCACACCAAGAAAAUGUUUAUUAUUAUUAUUAUUAUUAUUAUUAUUAUUAUUUAUUAUUAUUAUUAUUUUAGUCUAAAAUCUAACAUUUUAAAAAUCUAAAGUGCAUGUUAUACUGCAGUAUAAGGAGCCUUUUGUGGAAUGGAAAGAUUCUAUUGAUAUUAACAUUUCUUUAGUAGUGUAAAGUACUGUAGUAUUGUAAAAAUAUUCUUUAAUAGUCUAAUUUGAUAAUAUAAAUGACUCUCUUUGGUGCAAUCUGUUUGAUCCUGUCAUAAAAAUCUUACUAAUAUAUUUGACUUCAAUAAAACCAGUCGAUUUAUAUGCCGCCUCCUUUUUAGGUUACCUGACAACACAUUUUUUACUCUGUGCGUCAUAGCAAUUUUAUUCCCUGUAUCUUUUGGC